UCGGGAAUUUUGGGCAAUGGGCGAAAGCCUGACCCAGCAACGCCGCGUGAAGGAUGAAGUAUUUCGGUAUGUAAACUUCGAAAGAAUAGGAAGAAUAAAUGACGGUACUAUUUAUAAGGUCCGGCUAACUACGUGCCAGCAGCCGCGGUAAUACGUAGGGACCAAGCGUUGUUCGGAUUUACUGGGCGUAAAGGGCGCGUAGGCGGCAAUUCAAGUCAUCUGUGAAAUCUCCGGGCUUAACUCGGAACGGUCAGAUGAUACUGCUUUGCUAGAGUGCAGAAGGGGCAAUCGGAAUUCUUGGUGUAGCGGUGAAAUGCGUAGAUAUCAAGAGGAACACCUGAGGUGAAGACGGGUUGCUGGGCUGACACUGACGCUGAGGCGCGAAAGCGUGGGGAGCAAACAGGAUUAGAUACCCACGUAGUCCCUGAGCGGG
rnacentral:rRNA from 1 species